rnacentral:tRNA from 1 species
CUUAUUAGUCAGUUAAUUAAAGCUACCAGGCUCAUGACCUGGCGAUACAAAAGUCUAAUAAA